rnacentral:rRNA from 1 species
GUGCCAGCAGCCGCGGUAAUACAGAGGCUACGAGCGUUAGGCGGAAUCACUGGGCUUAAAGCGUGUGUAGGUGGAUGGGUAAGUACCUUGUGAAAUCCCACGGCUCAACCGUGGAACUGCUCGGUAUACUGCCUGUCUUGAGGCACUCAGGGGCGAGCGGAACAGAUGGUGGAGCGGUGAAAUGCGUAGAUAUCAUCUGGAACGCCAAUGGUGAAGACAGCUCGCUGGGGGUGUACUGACACUGAGACACGAAAGCCAGGGGAGCAAACGGGAUUAGAAACCCCGGUAGUCC